rnacentral:misc_RNA from 1 species
GUUGAAAUCAAAAUGUGGUAGAACUUUUGGGAGCUUUUGAAAAAAGUAAGCUAUUAAAGUUAAACAAACUCUUGUUAUGGAAGCUGAAAAGGCUGGUUUUCAGCCUUUUGACUAUCUUGGACUAAGUCAAAAGAAUUUGAGCCCAUUUACACUUACCUUAUUCUGCAGGUUGUUUAUUUGUUACAUUUUAUUGGCUCUCCAGCCAGAAGUAUAAGCAAUUAUGGGAAAAGAUAAAUGAAUUGAUGCUGAAUUAGAAGAAUCAAGAAUACAGGACAUGACUUUUGAAUAUGGCAAAAAUAAAGGUCUUGGGUUUGUGCCAUAAAGAAUAGAGUGCUGAUCGUUUAGAUGAGAUACAUUGUAUUUUGCAUUGUAUUGAUGAACAUUUGGUGGAAGUGCCUGUAUAGGCAUCUGUUAUCUGUUGAAAAGUAGACAUCUGGAUCUUAAACCAUUGAAUAACUACCAAACUAUUGGUGAAUAAUCACAUCAUACCUUGUGGUGAUUAAGAAUGAUAUUUAACAAUAAUGUUGAAAUCCGUGUUCCACUUGGUAAUAGCUGAAAGUUAAGCAUUUUAACAAUAAGAAUGAAUUGUGCUAGGACAAUCCUGACUGACUUUGGUCUUACAUAACCCUUUAUUGGUAUUCAGUAGGAUGUAUAAUUUCCUAAUGGAGGGAAAUGGCAUUUUCGCUGGCAAUGCAUGGUCCUUGUUGUACUCUCUCUGCUAUGCCCAGCACCCAUAUUACAGAAUAGUCCACAGAGUAAUUUGAUGUGCUUUAUUUAUGAGAAAAUUGUAACUGACAAGAUCUAUAUCCUUUUCUUUGACAGUUAGCGUCAUUGUUGGCAUGGAUUUUGCUUCUUGUGGAAUUGACAAAUGUGGACGAGACAUGUGAUAGGCUUUUGGAGCUUUGCUGAAGCUGAAACCAUCACAAUCUCAUCUGAAGGAAACUACACUACUUCCCUGUCAUACCCUGGCUAAAUGUUUCAUAGUGAAUGGAUUGGAGCUUUUUCUGACCAUCUUGUUUUUAUCAUCUAUUAAUUAAUGUGAGCAUGUAGUACCGUGUACA